GACGAACGCUGGCGGCGUGCUUAACACAUGCAAGUCGAACGGAAAGGCCCUGCUUUUGUGGGGUGCUCGAGUGGCGAACGGGUGAGUAACACGUGAGUAACCUGCCCUUGACUUUGGGAUAACUUCAGGAAACUGGGGCUAAUACCGGAUAGGAGCUCCUGCUGCAUGGUGGGGGUUGGAAAGUUUCGGCGGUUGGGGAUGGACUCGCGGCUUAUCAGCUUGUUGGUGGGGUAGUGGCUUACCAAGGCUUUGACGGGUAGCCGGCCUGAGAGGGUGACCGGUCACUUGGGGACACGGGUUCGGCCCAGGCUCCCAGGGGGGGCAGCAGGGGGGAAAAUGGCAGAGGUGGGGGAAGCCUGGUCAACCAACGCGCCGGGCGGGAAGACGGCCUUGGGUUUGAAAACUGCUUUCGCCUGGGAAGACGGGAGAGGGGCGGUAAUGGGUAAAGAAGCACCAGCUAACUCCUA
rnacentral:rRNA from 1 species